GACGAACGCUGGCGGCGUGCCUAAUACAUGCAAGUAGAACGCUGAAGGAGGAGCUUGCUUCUCUGGAUGAGUUGCGAACGGGUGAGUAACGCGUAGGUAACCUGCCUGGUAGCGGGGGAUAACUAUUGGAAACGAUAGCUAAUACCGCAUAAUAGUAGAUGUUGCAUGACAUUUGCUUAAAAGGUGCAAUUGCAUCACUACCAGAUGGACCUGCGUUGUAUUAGCUAGUUGGUGGGGUAACGGCUCACCAAGGCGACGAUACAUAGCCGACCUGAGAGGGGGAUCGGCCACACUGGGACUGAGACACGGCCCAGACUCCUACGGGAGGCAGCAGUAGGGAAUCUUCGGCAAUAGACGGAAGUCUGACCGAGCAACGCCGCGUGAGUGAAGAAGGGUUUCGGAUCGUAAAGCUCGGUUGUAAGAGAAGAACGAGUGUGAGAGUGGAAAGUUCACACUGUGACGGUAGCUUACCAGAAAGGGACGGCUAACUACGUG
rnacentral:rRNA from 1 species